AGACCCUUAUUCACAUUUUUGACAGAAGAAUAUUUUUCUGACUUGUGAAAAUGUGUGCCAUAUAUGGAGAAGCAUAUAAACAUAAUCAUUAUUUCCAUAGCCUUCUUCAUAAAUUUACAUCUGUCCUUUUCAAGAAAAAAACGAAGUGAUACUGAAACCCCAGAGGCAUACAAAGACUACUCACAGUAACAAAUACUUGAGCAUGCAUGGUUGUGAUCACCACAAUAUCCUCAUUCAAUUUUCUCAUCUGGCUUCUUCAAGGAAAAAAGGAAAAGAAAAAAAAUACAUAGAAAAAUUAACAAAUAACGUCUAAACUUAUUCAGAACAUUGUGCUGGCCUACUAUAUUAAUGCAUAAUAUUAAGUGGACCUGACCAGAAAGUGGAAAAUUUCCUAGACGUCGUAGGAAGACAUAGACCUGGCAGAGGAUAAGAGAAAAACAAAUCUCACACACACACAAAACAAGGUCCUGUGAACUUCUUGGAAAGCCAGUGGUCUGUGAUAUGUUAUACUAUCCUCCUUAAGGGCCAGGACAAGUAGUUGCGCCUUGCAUCUCCUGCCACUAAAAGGAUGAGCAGCUGAGCCACUGAAAGGCAGAGGGUUCAAAACUGCAACUUCCUCCACCAACACUCAGGGUUUGGGGCUGAAUUAAGUUUACCCAUCAAUAUGUAUUAUUCCACUAUGUUGACUUUUUUUCUCAAAAGUUCUUCUUUACUGUUUGACAGUCUACUCGCUAUUAGGUUAUCCACAGACUGUUAGCAAUACAUGCACAUGUCUGAAUUUUGAUUGUUGACAUGGCCUAAUUUUUCUCAAUUUUAUACCUGAGCUCAAACAUAUAAGAGACAUGUUUA